rnacentral:ncRNA from 1 species
GAGGAAACAUUUCUCGAAGUCCAUGGCCUUGAUCAUGCCUAUAUUUGAGGGUCAUUCGAUCAUGUCAUAAGAUUUCCCAAAAAUCAAUCUCAAUGAAGAGGGUGCUUAAAUGAAGGAAACAUUUGAAGGCAUUCCAUAACUUUUCCCCUUCAAGCAAUAUCACAAACAACCUUCUAUCCAAAGUCAACAAAAUUGAAACCCAUUUUUGAGAUUUGUUGGUGCCUCAUCCUAUAACUGAUGAAAACAUUAGGAAAUACAAAGACAUCGUCAGGGGCCCUUGGAAGACUUAUCUUUUAUUUUUAACAGGUUGCCCACCCUAAAAUUAGCCCAACCGGAGAUAGGGUCUAGCAGCUGGAAGAGCAUCACACGUCUUGCGAUGUUUGGUGCACCCUCGAUGACCCUUGAAAAUAUGGAGAACCGAGUACUGUCCAUGCCCGGUCGUACUCAUAACCACAUCAAGUCUCCAAGGUGAACAAACUCU